rnacentral:misc_RNA from 1 species
UGGUGCCUCGCGCAGCCGGUCGUGCCGAUGAGCGAAAUUGGCGCAGACGGACACCCUGCCCGCGGCGGAUUUCUGCCGCCCGUGCCGCUUCCGCGCCGGAUGNNNNGGCGGACAGAUCGAAUUCAUCGAGCCGCUGCGUGUCGGCGACAAGGUCACGCGCUCGUCGCGCAUUUCCGACGUGACGAUGAAGACCGGCAGCACCGGCACGUUGUGCUUCGUCUCGGUCGAGCACACCAUCACCACGCCGCGCGGCGUCGCCAUCCGUGAACGCCACGAUAUCGUCUAUCGCGAUAUGCCCGCGGCAGGCGAUCAGAAGCCGGCCGCAUCGCCCGCACCUGCCCCGGCGGGAAAGAUACGCGAGACCCAUAUGGCCGAUCCGGUGCUGCUGUUUCGAUAUUCGGCNNNNNCGUAUUCACUACGAUCGCGACUACGUCACCAAGGUCGAGGGCUAUCCCGGCCUGAUCGUGCAUGGACCGUUGCAGGCAUCGCUGCUGAUCGA